UACGUAGGGUGCGAGCGUUAAUCGGAAUUACUGGGCGUAAAGCGUGCGCAGGCGGUUUUGUAAGCCAGAUGUGAAAUCCCCGGGCUUAACCUGGGAAUGGCAUUUGGGACUGCAAGGCUGGAGUUUGGCAGAGGAGACUGGAAUUCCUGGUGUAGCAGUGAAAUGCGCAGAUAUCAGGAGGAACACCAACGGCGAAGGCAGCUCUCUGGGACGUUACUGACGCUGAGACGCGAAAGCGUGGGGAGCAAACAGG
rnacentral:rRNA from 1 species